GUAUAAAAAGAAGGAUAUGAUUAGUGGGUAGGCUACAUACAACCAAUGUUACCAAGUGCCCCCAGGGCUGUUUUCCUGCUCUCGAUUUAGAGGAGCCCAACAGAGAUGCAGUCAGGAGAGAAGUCCUAGACUAAAAGCCAAAGAGCUCUUAACCUAGCUUGCCUAACCAAGUCCUAGUCCCUAGGAGGUAGCCAGCCCUGUCCUUAUCCUUGACUCAACAACAGUCAGCCUCUUCAAGAAGGAUGAGGAUUGGUAGAGGGAUCCGUGAUGUUGAUGCUAUGAGCCCCAUGAGGUCUGAGCUUAGGGAAGACUGAGCCUAGGACCAUGGCCACAAGCAAGUGCCAAAUUCCCCAGCUGAGAAAUGGUGGAGGGGUGGCACACAAUUGAUUGGUGUCUUAGUCUUAUGACUCAAGACUUUUCUGCUUAGGCAUAAUUAAAUCUCCUUACGUCUGAAGAGGAGAAAUGGAAACGUGAAUUCAUAAGGCUGCACCUUUCCCUCUGCGCAUAUUCCUUGGGGAAGAUGAUCCAUUAGAAACAUAGGCAGACAUGCCGAGAGCAAUAAAGGGGCAGGCUCUGUGGGCUAAGCAGGCUGUAGUUAAAGGCUUUCCCUGAGAAUCAUUCAUUAAUUCUAGCCUUGGAAGAGGGCCAAGCUGUGUGGUUUUACCACAGCAAGGGGCAAGAUCCUAAUGAUUAAAUGCUCUUUGUUGCCCUGCAUUUCACUUUUUCUAAAUGCACUUUGAAGAAUGGAAAAUUGAGUUUUCAAUACUUUGUUGUUGGCUGAUGUUAAAUCUAGAGGUAAUUGAAGCCAGUUGAAAGCUGAAGGGAAUGGCCAAGGUAAAGCUUCGAGCACGGAGGCUGAAGGACUCAAGUGUGGUGCCUCCGUGUGUCACACUACUGCCUUCUGUGCCAUUUCUCCCUCUUUAUUAUAUUGGAAACUGUCGCUGAAAUUUGGGUUUGGAGAAUCAGAGUAUUCAUUGGAGACUACAUUUCUUUCUUUCUUUUUUUUUUUUCCGUUUUUGGCUGCCCUGCAGUAUAUGGAAGUUUCUGGGCCAGGGAUCAAAUCUGAGCCAGGGCUAUGACCUAGGCCACAGCUGCAGCAAUGCUGGAUCCUUAACCCACUGUGUUGAGCCGGGAAUGGAACUGGCACCUCCUACAGAGACAAGCCCCAGGUCAUUAAUACACUGCACCACUGUGGGAACUCCCAAGAGUACAUUUCUUGUAAUAUUGUCUUUGGAUCAAUACUUUAGUGUCUACAGAAGACAGGAUCAGAGUAAUAAGAAAUGGUUCUCAAUGGGCAGUCAAGUGUGGUCCGUCUUUCUUGGCUUAAAAAUCUUAAGUGGAAUUCCUGCACUGGCGCAGUGAGUUAAGAAUCCAGCUGAGGUGUGGGUCUGAUUCCCAACCCGGCACAGGGGGUUAAAGGAUCCAGCAUUGGUGUGGUUGCAGAAUAGGUCACAGCUGUGGCUUGUAUUCACUCCCUGGCCUAGGAACUUCCAUAUGCUUUGGGUGCGGCCAUUAAAAAAAAAAACAACGAAAAACCAAAAAAACCAAAAAAACACCUUAAGUAACUCUAUAGCCCUUUUUACUUUUUCUAGAUGGUUGACCAGACCUUAAUAGUAUUACAUUUGCACUCCUAUUUGAUAUCUAUGAGCAGAUCAGAGUCAUCUUGAGGAAAUAAAAUGCUCUGUGUUACAAUGUCCAAGUAAAUUACAAGUUUGGGUGUGUGCAAAAUGUGGAUUAGCUCUGGGCACACGGUAGGCGAUCUAUAAAUGCUAAUUAAUGAAUGCAUAAGUUACAUCACUUUUCUCUAUCAUCCUGUAAAUUCGGGGAAAAAUUCAUUCAAACAAUGAUGUGACUGAAUACGUUGCUAAAAUCUUUUAGUCUGAUGAUCUUGCUAAAGUUCUGACCUUCAAGCUCUUCGGUUGUGUAUGAGAGAGAAUAUACGUGUUUGCAGGUGAGAGAUUAUUGCUCUUUUUUACGAAAGAGCCAAGCACAAUGGGGUUGAGUUCCUACACCGACCUCUGCUGCAAGAAAAAUGUCCUUACUUUCAUCUUCUUUAGGUUUGUGCUGGCACUUACUUUAACUUGAUUUCUGGCUAGGAGAGGAGGGAGAGUCUGGCAAUGGCAGGAAGUUUCAGUUUAGGCUGCUCUACUUUGCUUUUCAUUCAAUAGCUACAUUUUGAAUGUUUCUAACACACCAACCAAUAGGUUGGACGUCCCAACUAGGAACCGAUGUGUAGUAGAUGUAGUUACCAUCACAUAUAGAUAUAUGUUGUUUUAUUCGUUUGCGGCUGUUGCACUGUGUUUUUGUUUGUUUGUUUUGUAAAUUAAAGGUUUGUGGCAACCCUGAAUCAUCAGAUGAUGGUUAAUAUUCUUUAGCGAUAAAUUGUUUUUUAACUAAGGCAUGUACAUUGUGUUUUCUUAGGCACGAUGCUAUCGCACACCCAACAGACUACUGUAGUGGAAACAUGACCUUUUUUUAGCUUUUUAGGGACACACCUAUAGCAUAUGGAAGUUCCCAGGAUAGGGAUCAGAUCAGAGCUGUAGCUUCCAGCUUACACCACAGCCACAGCAACACAGGAUCUGAGCUGCAUCUGUGACCUACACCACAGCUCAAUCCAGGUAACGUUGGGUCCUUAACCCACUGAGCAAGGCCAGGGAUCGAAACUGCACCCUUAUGGAUACUUGUCAGGCUUGUGACCUGAUGAGUCACACGGGAACGCCCCAUAACUUUUAAUAUAUGCACCAGGAAGCCAAAAAAUUCAUGUGACUUGGUUUAUUGCAAUAUUCACUUUAUUGUGGUGGUCUGGGACCAAGCUUGCACUAUCUCUGAGGUGAGCCUAUAUACUUUUUAAACGACUUUAUUGAGAUAUAAUUUAUACACUGUACAAUUCACCUAAUGUUUUAAGUGUAUAAUUCAGUGGUUUUUAGUUCGUUGACAGAGUUAUGCAGCCUUCAUCACAAUAGAAUUUUAUAAUAUUUUCAUUACCCCAAAAAGAAACCCCACACUAGCUUACUCUUCAUCCUCUCCCCAGCAGUUCUUGGCAACCACUCAUCUACUUUCAGUCUUUGUAGACUUGCCUAUUCUAAAUGUUACAUACAAAUGGAACCAUACAUAUACACCCUGCUAUAUAUAAAAUAGAUAACCAACAAGGACCUACUGUAUAGCACAAAGAACAACAUUUGAUAUUUUGCAAUAACCUAUAAGGGAAGAGAAUCUUAAGAAGAACAUAUGUGUAUAUAUACACACGCCUAUAUAUAGUAGAUUCAUAUAUAUAUGUAUAUCUACUAUAUAUAGGUUCCUAGCUGGGAUGUCCAUAUAUAUUAUUUUGGUAUGUUCUUUUAUAUAUAUAAAAUCUCUGAAUCACUAUGCUAUAUAUCUGAAACUAACAUGAGAGUGUAAAUCAACUAUCCUUCCAUUUUUAAAAAAUGGACUCAUACAACAUGUGGUCUUUUGUGUCUGGCUUCUUUCACUUAGCAUAAAGUUUUUUGAGGUCCAUCCAUGUUGUAGAAUACAUCAGUACAUCAUUUCUUUUUAUUGUUGAGUAGUAUUUGAUAGUGUUUAUUUACUCAUCAGUUGAUGAACGUUUGGGUUGUUUUCACAUUUUGGACAUUAUGACUCAAGCUCCUAUAAACAUUUGUGUACAUGUUUUUGUGUGGACAUAUGUUUUCAUUUUGGGAGCAGUACAUACCUAGGAGUAGAAUUGCUGGAUCACAUCGCAAUCCUGUAUUUAACUUUUUGAGGAACUGCGAGAAUGUUUUCCAUAGCGAUUGCACCAUUUUCCGUUUACAUUUACUGUGUCUUUACUUAAAGAAAAAAAAAAAA
rnacentral:lncRNA from 1 species